rnacentral:lncRNA from 1 species
GCUGCAUGACCAGGUUGUGGAUUUUCAAAGAAAAAGCAAAAUGAGGGCAGCAGCUGACCACCUUUGUAUUCUGGAAAUGUAGAGAUUAGUCUCUAAUGUUGCUUUCUUUGGCUGACACAUUCGGGUUAAAUCUGCAGUUACAAGGAAGAUGGACAACAGUUGUGGACAUGGUGGAAAAACUUGAGGCCUUUACUAGGAAGCAAAGGGACCAGGCCGCAGCAUUGCCACAGAGGUGAUGGAAGAUUUCAUCAAGCAGCUACAGCAUACCCAAGGAUAUCAUUGCGUUUGUACGUGAUCAUUUCACAGUCCGCCCAGGUGGAGAAUUCUCCUCCCUUGCUAAGAAAACAAACCUCACCCUCCCUGGAUGAGGCCGCAAUUCAAACUGAGCUGAAUGAAUUCCAGACGUCGAGCCAAAUCAGCGAUGCGCUCAGGAGUGCCGAGUCCUUGUUUACGUUUUGGGUGGCAUUAUCAGAGGAAAAGAGCACAAUAAUGAAACUUGCCUUUACACGUGCUAACAAUGUUUGCAUCGACUUACACCUGUGAGUCCUCCUUUUCCUCUAUGAACACAAUCAAGAUUCAUAACAGGAACCGGCUUUCAAAUAAGUCAAUCGAGGACUGCCUUCCUCUCACCUGACAUCCACAAGAUCAUGCCCGAGAGGAAAUGCACCUUUUCCCAUGAAGAGCAGGCUAUCCUGAGAUUCCCGAUACAGACAUUCAGACAUUCAGACAUCACCUGUUUUUCUUUAAAUGAUAGUUUUAUGUAGGAUGCUACUCUUUUGGAUAGUUGACAUUGUAAGUAGGCCUGUUAGAUCUGACAAUUGAUCGUGAUGGUUGUACAGUCAUCUCAAAUAAAACUGUGAAGGACCUCGGCGUUACUCUGGACCCUGAUCUCUCUUUUGACGAACAUAUCAAGACUGUUUCAGGACAGCUUUUUACCAUCUACGUAACAUUGCAAAAAUCAGAAACUUUCUGUCCAUAAAUGACGCAGAUAAAUGUAUACAUGCUUUUGUCACUUCUAGAUUAGAAGUGUCCGGGUUGGCGCCCCCCUCGGGAUCGUGCCGUGG